CCUACGGGGGGCAGCAGUGGGGAAUAUUGCGCAAUGGGCGAAAGCCUGACCCAGCAACGCCGCGUGAAGGAAGAAGGCUUUCGGGUUGUAAACUUCUUUUAAGGGGGAAGAGCAGAAGACGGUACCCCUUGAAUAAGCCACGGCUAACUACGUGCCAGCAGCCGCGGUAAUACGUAGGUGGCAAGCGUUGUCCGGAUUUACUGGGUGUAAAGGGCGUGCAGCCGGAGAGACAAGUCAGAUGUGAAAUCCACGGGCUCAACCCGUGAACUGCAUUUGAAACUGUGUCCCUUGAGUGUCGGAGAGGUAAGCGGAAUUCCUGGUGUAGCGGUGAAAUGCGUAGAUAUAAGGAAGAACACCAGUGGCGAAGGCGGAUUACUGGACGAUAACUGACGGUGAGGCGCGAAAGCGUGGGGAGCAAACAGGAUUAGAUACCCCUGUAGUC
rnacentral:rRNA from 1 species